CAGUCGACGAACUUCCUUAUCACCGAGUGCUUGCACUCACCGAUAAAGAGUUGAGUGGCGAACGGGUGAGUAACACGUGGGCAACCUGCCCAAAAGAGGGGGAUAACACUUGGAAACAGGUGCUAAUACCGCAUAACCAUAGUUACCGCAUGGUAACUAUGUAAAAGGUGGCUAUGCUACCGCUUUUGGAUGGGCCCGCGGCGCAUUAGCUAGUUGGUGGGGUAAAGGCCUACCAAGGCAAUGAUGCGUAGCCGAACUGAGAGGUUGAUCGGCCACAUUGGGACUGAGACACGGCCCAAACUCCUACGGGAGGCAGCAGUAGGGAAUCUUCCACAAUGGGCGAAAGCCUGAUGGAGCAACGCCGCGUGGGUGAAGAAGGUCUUCGGAUCGUAAAACCCUGUUGUUAGAGAAGAAAGUGCGUGAGAGUAACUGUUCACGUUUCGACGGUAUCUAACCAGAAAGCCACGGCUAACUACGUGCCAGCAGCCGCGGUAAUACGUAGGUGGCAAGCGUUAUCCGGAUUUAUUGGGCGUAAAGGGAACGCAGGCGGUCUUUUAAGUCUGAUGUGAAAGCCUUCGGCUUAACCGGAGUAGUGCAUUGGAAACUGGGAGACUUGAGUGCAGAAGAGGAGAGUGGAACUCCAUGUGUAGCGGUGAAAUGCGUAGAUAUAUGGAAGAACACCAGUGGCGAAAGCGGCUCUCUGGUCUGUAACUGACGCUGAGGUUCGAAAGCGUGGGU
rnacentral:rRNA from 1 species